UACGUAGGGUGCAAGCGUUAAUCGGAAUUACUGGGCGUAAAGCGUGCGCAGGCGGUUCUAUAAGACAGAUGUGAAAUCCCCGGGCUCAACCUGGGAACUGCAUUUGUGACUGUAGAGCUGGAGUACGGUAGAGGGGGAUGGAAUUCCGCGUGUAGCAGUGAAAUGCGUAGAUAUGCGGAGGAACACCGAUGGCGAAGGCAAUCCCCUGGACCUGUACUGACGCUCAUGCACGAAAGCGUGGGGAGCGAUCCGG
rnacentral:rRNA from 1 species